UACGAAGGGGGCUAGCGUUGCUCGGAAUGACUGGGCGUAAAGGGCGCGUAGGCGGUUUAGACAGUCAGAUGUGAAAUUCCCGGGCUUAACCUGGGGCUGCAUUUGAUACGUCUAGGCUUGAGUGAGGAAGAGGGUUGUGGAAUUCCCAGUGUAGAGGUGAAAUUCGUAGAUAUUGGGAAGAACACCGGUGGCGAAGGCGGCAACCUGGUCCUUUACUGACGCUGAGGCGCGAAAGCGUGGGGAGCAAACGGAUUAGAUACCGUAGUA
rnacentral:rRNA from 1 species